UUGUGUAUAAAAGGUAGAGACGUUUAGCGGACAUUAAGUGCUUAGAAGCUAAGAACAUAUUUACGGUCUCAGUAUGCAGGCGUCCAAGACUUUUCGACUGUUUCUGUUUAUCGCUCUUGUGGUCAUACCUCUCUUAGUGUGUGGCAAGCAGCACACUGCGCGAAGGCAAGCGCGUGCGAAACGAUCUUCGAGUAGUUGUUUUGGGUUUUGCGGCGGAUCGCAUGGGCCGUGUCCCGCUGGUUGUGUGUGUAGAGGGAGUACAGCCGGAGAAGGAACUUGCCAGCCAUCUACGAAAGGUUAAACAUCCUCUGGCGUUCUCAAUUAAUAAAGCUAUGAGGAAUCUCAG